rnacentral:lncRNA from 1 species
GUCCACAUUUCCAGAUACGAUAGCUAAGAUUCAUGACCCACCUUUGGAUUCUUUCAUGAUAGACGCAGGGCAUCUGCAGCUAGCUACGACCUAGGCCUGCUCCAUAGUCUAUGAUGGUGCCUUCCUCUGCGAGCAUAAAUUACUAUUGUUAGGUCUUAAGGUGCAAAGCUGGUAUUAGAUUCUCCAUGCAUGCCUGUAACUUUAUUAUCGCCAUGCA